rnacentral:rRNA from 1 species
CUACGGGCGGCUCCAGUGGGGAAUCUUGGACAAUGGACGAAAGUCCGAUCCAGCGACACCGCGUGGGGGAUGAAGGCUUUCGGGUCGUAAACCCCUUUUCUGGGGGAAGAAUAAGGUUGGGAGGAAAUGCCCAUCCGAUGACGGUACCCCAGGAAUAAGCAUCGGCAAACUUCGUGCCAGCAGCCGCGGUAAGACGAGGGAUGCGAGCGUUAUCCGGAAUUACUGGGCGUAAAGGGCGUCUAGGCGGUUGGAUAAGUCAUUUGUGAAAGCCCAGGGCUUAACCCUGGAAGGUCUUGUGAUACUGUCCGGCUUGGGUGUAGGAGAGGAGAGCGGAACUCACAGAGUAGCGGUGGAAUGCGUAGAUACUGUGAGGUACCCCGAUGGCGAAGGCAGCUCUCUGGCCUACUACCGACGCUGAAGCGCGAAAGCGUGGGGAGCAAAGGGGAUUAGAUACCCGAGUAGUC